UCCAAAAUAAAUAAUAAAAAAAAUACAAAAAAUAUAUCCUAUUCUAUCCUACACUAAUUCUAACUAUGCUCUAGUGCUUUACCUGAUGCCUCGGGCCUUCAUCACGAAUGUCCUCCGGGUACAAAAUACUUCGGGGCAUUCCCCGAUGAAUAAACACAUGUACCUCGGGGCAUUCCCCGGACAAAUGAAUACACUUACAAAUACAACAAAAACAAAACAUUUAACGAAUAUUUUCAUCAUUCAAAAAUCAAAAGUCUUGAUUUUGCCUGCCCGAGCCUACCGUUUGCCUACACAGCACGACCUAUCAUGGUACUAUCACAAUCAGCAACAUCAACGAACCAAAACAAUAAUAUUUCAACUUAUUCAAUCAUCAAUUUCCCCAAAUCAUUCCCAAUCACAUGAUUAAUCAAUGUUAAAGUAAAUCAAGCAAUCAAAGUCAUAAUCACAACAAUUAAAAUUUCUCAAACACACUAUAAAAAUAUAUCACCAACCCAACAUGAAUCAUGCAAUCCACAACAUCAAAACAUCAACUCCAUAAUAAAAUAGUAAUAGAAAGAGAUAGAGUUGAAAAUUUGGACAUCAAACUUUACGUUUUAUUUCAAUUGAAUUGCUCGACGAAGCGGCGCCGGAAUACCUCGAUUUGAACCUCAAAUACGAACCCCAACUCAGAAUAGAUUUCGACAAGUUUGGACAGAAUCGAAAGUAAAAUCGGGGUUUGCUUAACUGCUCUCUAUAGUCGUAGCUCUGGUGAGCGCUAAUUACCGAAAACGAAGAAGGAAUACGGCUGUGAUGCAUUUUUGGUGAACCCGUCCCCGGGACAGUAACCAAACCAUGAAAACUUGUGUUCCCUCAGCUUUGUGUUACUCUCCUCUCUCUCGAUCUCAACUCUCUCUUCUCGAUCUCUCUGUUUUGGUCCCAAGUUUUCCUUCUGUUAGUCCUUAAUUCUCCAUUUUUUUUUAACCUUUCGAUCUCUCCGGCCAACCCACUUGAUCUAUCCUCUCACGUCAUCCUCCUGUCAUCUCUCUCUCUCUCUCUCUCUCUAUUUAUGUAUUGUACGAGUAUGGUCGAGUGAUGAUGAAAAAUGAAGGAGGGUGCGUGUAUGACUGUUGCAUGAGGAUGAGUAUCAAUUGUUCUCUAUUUUGUAGUGUAUAUGUUUCUCUGUGUGUGUUGAGUAAUCUUGAAGAAGACAAAGGGAAAGCAAUGGCGUGUGUUUGUUUUAUUUUUGGUGAGGAUCCAUGGAAUUAUGAGUAUGCGUGUGAAUCGUGAGUGAAGGUCCCCCUCAUUUUUGUCUUGUGCUGGUGUAUAUGUGAAUGAUGUUUUUUUUUAGAGAGAAAAAGCAUUUUAAAGUGGGUUUUCUUUUUGCUUUUGUGUCUAGGUGUCUUUUUUUUGGUUUGGUAAUUAUCCAUGUAUUUAUAUUGUAUUCCCUGUGGGCCCCAUUUUGCUAUGUAAAAGGAAUAAAAUAUGGGGGGGUGGGGUGGGAUAGGUAGGUUAUUAGGAUGAGGUGUAAAGUUGGUUAGAGGUUUGUUAUUAUUAUUUUUGUAUUUUGUGGGGUUAUAGUGGGAGGGGGAAUUAUGUGGUUGAGGGUACAAUGAGUAAAAGUGAUAUCGGAGAGGGACAAAAUUAGGUGUCUACAUCAUGCCCCCUAUGAAUGUAAACACGCAGUAUUUUCAGACAAAGAAGUAGACAACGAGACGGAAUUUAGUCCCGACCAUUAUUCAAAGGAAGAAACAGAAGGAAGAAGGACAACCGAGUUGGAGAGUCGAGUGAGGUCCCUUCGAGGUUCCGGACCACGGCUCUAUCAUUACAUAAAAAAUGAGAAAUUACAAGUUAAAACAUAAAUGGAAUUACAAAAAUCCUAUCUAUGCAGUUGCUUUUGGACUCCUGACUUGAGUUUCAUCACCCUAUUCUCUAGGCGGGCUCCUGACUUGCAAUUUCUUCAACUUGUUUCUUGGUUUUCAAUUUCUUCCCUAUGUUGCUUGACUUUUCAUUUAUUCAAUCUGUUCUUCAGGUGGGUUCCUGAUUUUCCAUUUCAUCACCCUGUUCUUUAGGCGGGCUCCUGACUUGCCGUUUCAUCACCCUGUUCUUCAGGCGGGCUCCUGACUUGCUAUUUUCAUAUGUUGUCUUUCAAUUUCUUCACUUUGUUUCUUGACUUUCAUUUUAUUCAUCCCGUUCUUCAGGUGGACUCCUGAAAUCACAUCAAAACUAAAAAGAAAAUUAUCCCAAACAAAGAUUAUAUAAAGAGAACAUUUGCUAGAGAAAUGAAGUUCCAAACAACAAGGAUUAAAUUUUGCCCAAGUUUAUCAUCAAAGGACUUUUGAAAAGUCACAUCAUUAUAGGAAUUAAGGAGAAUGACUCGACUAAAAAGUACGUCUUAUAGGAAUCAAAGGGAGUGACUCGACUAAAAGGUUCGCCUUAUAGGAAUCAAGGAGAUUGACUUGACUAAAAGGUAUGUCUUAUAGGAAUCAAGGGGAAUAACUCGACUAAAAGGUACAUCUUAUAAGAAUCAAGGGAUGAUUCGACUAAAAGGUACGUCUAAUAGGAAUCAAGGGAGAUGACUCAACUAAAAGGUACGUCUUAUAGGAAUCAAGGGGGAUGAAUCGACUAGAAGGUACGUCUCUUAGGAGUGAAGGUUCAAUUUAAGAAGUGCAUCACCUAGCAAAUGAAAACUGAAAUCCCUGCACAAGUGUGUCUCUGAGGGAUAUAGGAUGAUAAAUUUUUACCAUGAUUUUAUUAUCAAACCUAUGCAGCAACUUUUCUUCCUGUAUUUGUAAAAGUGAGGCAUUGCAUCCCUUGAUGUUUAUGCUCUGAAGUUCUUUCUUUGAAGGUAGUAUGUUUAUUUUUUCAUCAAAGAAAACUUGUGAGUUUGAAACAUGGUGGCUUAUUUGUGGCUUUAGCUUUUGCGGCGGUCUCUCUUGCCCUCGUCACAUUUAACCCUGCUUCCAACCAUUAGCAUAUAUCAUUGACUUGCUGCAUCAUUGACCCAAACUCAGGUUAUUAAGAGUGACUCUGAAACAAACGUGGUAUCUAUGCUUUUUCCUGUUUCUCAGAUAAACCCCUUUCGAACCUUGGUAUUUCAUGAGUUCCUAGACUUGUUUGUUGACAAAACUUUCUGCUUGCUUCAUUUUGGUUCACAAUCAUGUCUCUUUUAUGUGCUAGCUUUUGUGUUGCUUUGCAAUUGAAAAAGCUGGUAGCUAGUUUUGGAAUCUUUUCUCCCUUGUUUUGACAUAAACUUGACUCAAAGACAAUAGAAAAAUAACAACUUUGCUUUAUUUGGAUAACUGACUCAAGAAAAUAAAAAUAUAACUAAAGAGAGGAAAGAAAAGACAAUGAAUGUCCCCAUUUGAAACAAAGAAACGAAAAAUUGAUCUAGAAAUGAAAGUCAACUCUAAUGAUUAUGCCAUGCAUUUUGGAUUAAGCUGCCUAAUCUUUCCAUCCAAACUUUAUACCAAUUGUUGUUGAGUUAACUAGGCUUGAAACUGAGUUGUUUCCUUCGGUCAAUUGUCUUUAAGACCUCAUUCGGCUAGUGAAACCUUAAAGGGCUUUCACCAACAAGCUUCUCUCAUUUUUUUUCUCAGCUCACCAUUGGCUUACGGUGUUCGUGAGUAUUUUUCACCAAUGAGACUCUCUUAUUUUUAUUUCUCUCAACUCAUAGUCUUCUUACAGUACUCGUGAGGGUUUUCACUGAUAAGACUCUCUCAUUUUUAUUUCUUUCUUGAUUCCUUAUGUUGAGGAAGACAAAUAGUUCCCUAAUGCAUCAUCAUAUCCCUUGCAUGCUUAGCCUUAACAUCCUCAAAGAUUGAUCUGAAGGUCUUUUUUGGUUGUAACUUGGCUUUUGAAAAGGGUUAGAAAUAAAGGAUGACAUGAGGCCCAAACGACACUUGAAGUGGGGUGGGAUUUACAACUUUUGAAAUCGACUCAAACAAUGAGGAUCAACUCAUACCCCAGUUUUUUUUGAUUGGGCAAUAAUAAAUUAUUUAUUUGGUUGGACCGAGACCUGAGUAGGGCAGCCUAUUUAUCUCACCCUCGAGAGAGGAGAAUCAGGUCAUGCGUAGUUCUGGCAGCUUAUUCUUUUUUUGCUUGAUUCUGACUUGUUUUUCUUUUUUUUUUUCUUUUGACUCUUUUUCUUUGUGAUUUUUCUGACUCUAAUUUCUUGACACUCUUUUCUUCCUUCUUUGGACACAUUUUUCUUUUUUUUUUUGAAACUUUCUGACUCUAUUCUCUUGCUCGAUACUUUUCUUUUGAGCUUUGCUAGCUUCAUCUUGAUUCCAUAAGAGGAGUAUGAAAGAAAAUAACACUAAGGAUCAAAUGGGAUAAACAAAGGAUGACACAAUGUUUGGAUAGCAGAAUAAAAUGUCUUCAUCAUAUCAAUCCUUGAAAAUACUAGUACAUAGCAUGCAAUGUGAAAGUGCAUGAUCAACAUCACUCAUGACAUGUUUUAUAACACUAAAUUGCCCCGAACAUGUGUGUCACCUCUUUUUCUAUACUUGUCAAAAAUACAACUCCACUUUUGUUGUACAUCCCUCACAUUGAAUGACUCAUCAUGCUUUCGUGGAGUUGAUUUUCUUUCUGUUCCUCUUGAUAGGAUCACGCAGACACUGUUUGACCUAAUUGAACUAUGCUUUUCAAUUGAUGACCAAGUUAUUUUUGUGAUUCUCAAAAUAAUCUCCUUAAUUUUGAAAGAAGGCUUCAACUUGUCACCAAAUGUCUCAGCACUCUACCUAUUUUCUCAGGUUCUUUUUCUAACCUUAGCCCUCUGAUUCCAUGUUUCAUGGUUAAAUUGGACUUUAAGAUCUGACUGAAAAUUCUGCAAGCAUGUCAUAUCACUAGAGUCAACAUAAAAUGUACUGUAUAAAGAGAACAAACAAAUAAUACAUAUUUAAAACACAAAGGAAAAGGAACAAUUCAUUUAGUUGAAAUAAAAGAUAGAAGGGUUUGAACAUAAACGACAAAAGGACAAAACAAGAUAGAUUUUGAACUACAAUCCUGAAAUAAUUCAAAAACCAAAAAUGAAAACAAAAUAAAGUAUCAGACCUCUUCCUAGAAGCGAGAGAGGUGACUUCUCAAUUGCUCAUCCUGACAACUUAGCCACUGGUUUGCAUAUCAGCAUGACUAGAGCUUCCCUCACUGUCAAUGUUCUGCACCAUAAUUGGUCUAUCUUGAAUCAUCUUUUCAAUUUCUCUUUUCAAAUCUCUACAAUCUUCAAUACUAUGACCCUGAGCAUCAGAAUGAUACGUACACCGUACAUUAGGAUCAAAAAUUCUUGAACGCCGAUUAAGAGUACACCCAAAGAGAGAAGUGAUCAUUCACCAUUGUACCAAUCUCUAAAAUAAACUGGCAUACGACUCUCCAAUUGGUGUGAAGCUAUCUCUCAACUUCUACCUCAUUUCAUCGUUUGGCUUAGAUUGAAAAUCAGGCUUAGAAUGGUUUUGGUAUGUUUGUGGAGUUAGAGGAUGACUCUGAGGAGUUGGUGUGUUCCACUGUGGGUAAGAUGGGGUUGAAAAGGUGGCUGUGUGUUAUAUACUGGAUAUGGAGGUGGAGGAGCAGAGUAUAAUGGAUUUUGGGAGUGAUUAUAUGAAGCUUGGGUAUGAACUUGGGUUUGAGCCUGAGAGUGACGACAACGGGGUCUUCUUGACCGUUUCCGCUAUCCAACUACAAUAGAAGAUGCAUCUUCCUCAUUCUUUGUCUCCUCAACACUUCCUGAACCCUUUUGAAUUGCUUGAGUUAUCGCUUUCAAUGUUUCAAAACUCACAAUGCGACCUGUCUUAAUUCCCUUUUCUAUCAUCUCCCCCAUUUUAAGGACCUCAAUAAAUGACUUGCUUAAUGCAGGUAACAAGUGUUGAUAAUAUGUUUCAUCCUGCGCUUGAAUAAAUACCUCUACUAUUUUGCUUUCUUUCAUUGGUGGUUUUACUCUAGCAGCUUGUUUGCGCCAUCUGUUUGCAUACUCCCUGAAACUCCCAGUAUUAUUUUUUUAUACUAGUUAGGAAUUUUUCGUCAGGGAUAAAAUCCACAUUGUAUUGAAAUUGUUGCACAAAUUCAUUAUCUAGCUCAUCACAACUAAUCCACUUGUCAAUGUCUUGGUCAACAAACCAUUCCGAAGCUAGCCCUGAAAGACUCCCCGAAAUAAGCCAUGAGUAGUUCUUCUUUCCCUUCAGCACCUCUGAAUUGGUUACAAUAGCGCCUCAAAUGUGCCUCUGGGUUCCCCAUGUCCAUCAUAUUUCUCAAACUUUGGCAUUUUAAAACCAGGAGGAAAGUUGACACCUAGAAACAUGCAUAAGUCCUUAUAUGAGAUUUGUAACCCCCAAGUCCUUGCAAGUUCUUCAUAUCCAGUUCCAAACUUUUCAAGUUUCUGGUCAUUUCCUCUUGUUCUUCUGUCAUAACAGGCUUCUCAGUGUUAGGAGAAAAUUCAGGCGGGUGAGUGUCAUCGUAAAGACCAGUCAACUUGAAUGUAGUCUUAGAAGUGUAACGCUGAUCACCAAUAAUAUCCAAUGUAGACUCUCUUAUAAAGUAGAGAGGCACAACUUGUGGAUGAACAUAAAAAAUAGGAGCUUCAGGUGGGGUAGCACCGCAAAAGCAUGAACAGCAGGUGGAGUCGAGUAUGUGGUAGUCUUGGAUUGGGGAGUGAGGAAAUGAACAUUGGAAGUGGUUGGAUAUUGUUGCCCUGGAUUCGAUCCUGAUGUAUGUUAUGACAUAUCAACAAAAAUAGGAAAUUGUGCAUGUGACACGGGAGGCAAGCUAGAAAGAUAUUCCAAAUUAUCAGUGAGAACCAAAGGAGGCGGCAACCUAUUAGCCCAAACACGAUGCAUUUCUAUCAUUUACUGCCUUAAUUUCUGAAUCUCUUCAUUAGCUCCUAAAUUCUUAUUUCCCGACCUCCCUGUCUGAUUAGUGACAACAAACUCGGUAUCCUUGUUGGCCAUAACUUUCUCUAUGACUUGGUGCAAUAUGAAGAACCAGCCAAAAUAACACAAACCAACCACCUUAAACUAAUUGGAUAAGAGAUAGCAAAUGCGUUAGAGUUCAAUAAUUUUUCAAAACCUCUUUUUUUUAAAAGAUCACCGAACCCAAGAAGGGCACAUACGUAUCUCGCCCCCGAGAGGGGAGAAUCAGGUGUGCGUAGUUUGUAAAGUCUUGCCAAAAUGGACAAUUAAACUCGUUUUCUUUUUUUUUCUUGAAACUUUAAGAACAAAACAGAAUAAUAAAUUGUCAAAAGAAUUGACGAGAAAUCUUUUUUUUUGCGUUUUUCAGUUUUAACAUCCCUAUACAAUCUGAAACCUACUAUUACCCAAGAAUUAUUUUUUUUUGAGUUUUAAAUUUUGAAUUUAAUAUGAAAAUGAAACUUGAACCUAUUAAAGGAAUUUUUUUUUUUGUGAUUUUCGUUUAAAGAUAUAUAUGAAACACCUAUUCUAAAUGAAGAGUGAAGAAAAUCUUUUAUGAUUUUUUUUCAUAUUCCUAUACAAAAUGAAACCUAUGAUUAACAAAGAAAAUCUUUUGGGGUUUUCAAUUUUGAAUUUCAAAUGAAAAUUGAAACUAUUAAAGAAAAUUUUUUUUGCAGCUUUCUUUUAAAGAAGUAUAUGAAACACUUACUCUAAAUAAAGAGUGAACAAAAUCUUUUUGAAUUUUUCAAAUAAGAUCCCCGAACCAGCAAUAGGCUGCCUACAUAUCUCACUCCCGAAAGAGGAGAAUCAAGGGUGUGUAAUUCUUCCAAAUUGGACAAUUAAGGAUUAUAGAACAAACAAAACCUUGACUUGAGAGACACGACUACGGACAGACGAUGAACAAUAUCAAUAAAAUCUUUUUUGGGAUUUUUAAUUAAAAACUAACACCAACAACUAUGAAAGUAAAAAAAAAACUUUUUGAUAUUUUCAUUAUAUAAAUAUGUACAAAGCUCCUAUUGAAAGAAAAAAAAUAUUUUGGAAUUUUCAAAUUGUGAACGCUUACUAAAGAAAUAAAAAGAAAAUCUUUUUGACGUUUUUUUUUUUGAGAAAAUGAGUGCAAAAAGUAAAAAUCUUUUUGAAUUUUUGAAUUUUGGAAAACAAAAUCCAUAAAGAACCCCAAAAACUAUGACCCUCUUCUUUUGACUCACUUUUUUUUUUCCAACACUGUCUUGUCUAUACACUUUAUUCUAACACACACUUUCCCUAAAUCAGUCCAUCAAAUGACCACGUUACCUUCAGAGAUGCAAUAUUUAGCACGUAGGGACGCUUUAGAGGUGAGUCUCCUACAAAGGACCAAGUGGACCCAGCUAGGCCUCAAUACGAUGCACAUAGCAUGACCUAAAGGCUGACCUACGUUUGAGUUCACUAACACGGCUGUUCGGGGAGCGUAUGAUCGAUAGUGGAUUGCUUUAGCUGUCCACCUACUCCAUACAACCCAACGGCUCCUCCUCUUAAAAUGAGGGUGACUCAACUAUAAGUCAUGUACACACGUGUACUAUGGACUUGUUGCAGAAAGAAAGACUCGGGUUAUGCACAUGAUACCAGAUAUAAGGCGGUAAUACAUAAAGUAAAAUUGUAAACAAAGAACAUGUAGGCACUCAACAAUGAUAAACAAUAACACAAAACAACACAAACAAAAUGUCUAUACACCUAUAGUGCCAAACUAAGCCGAUACAACUCCAAAAUAAGCUCGAAUUUUGAAAAAUCCCCAGCAGAGUCACCAGAGCUGUCACACCCCUUUUUUAACUCCAAAAAGAUUAUUUUUAAGUUCGAAAGGGGUUUUAUUGUUAAAGUGACAAAAGAUUGAAAAUUGUUUCGAAAAGGAUUCAUUUUACAAUUAAUCUCAGAGUUGCCACUUGGCAUAAAUCGGGUGUGCCAAGUCACCCUUGGAUAUCCUUUUUCAAAAUAGUUUGACUCUCUUAAACUGGUUUGCGAACAGAGUUCCGGCUUAGGAAUUCUGUUGAUCGAGGGGAAGGUGUUAGGCACCCCUCGAUCCCUUGAUUCGAGCAUGGUCGCUUAGUGGAGUAUAUAAGCUAAUUUGACAUCACAAAUGUAUAAACCACACAAAGCACGUAAAACAAUCAAUCAAACACACGAAACAAACAAAUCCAAAAUAUAAUGUUCAAUCCAAUUAUACAGUCCAAAAUAACUAAUAAAAAAAAUGCAAAAAAUAAAUCCUAUUCUAUCCUACACUAAUUCUAACAUGCUUCAGUGCUUUACCCAAUGCCUCGGGCCUUCAUCACGAACGUCCUCCGGAUACAAAAUACUUCAGGACAUUCCCCGGUGAAUAAACACAAGUACCUUGGAGCAUUCCUCGGCCAAAUGAAUACACUUCCAAAUAUGACAAAAACAAAACAUUCAACGAACAUUUUCAUCAUUCAAAAAUCAAAAGUCCUAAUUUUGCCUACCCGAGCCUACCGUUUGCCUACCCAACAUGACCUAUCAUGGUACUAUCAUAAUCAGGAACAUCAACGAACCAAAACAACAAUAUUUCAACUUAUUCGAUUAUCAAUUCCCCCAAAUCAUUCCCAAUCACAUUAUUAAUCAAUGUUAACGAAAAUCAAGCAAGCAAAGUUAUAAUCACAACAAUUAAAAUUUCUCAAACACACUAUCAAAAUAUAUCACCAAUCCAACAUGAAUCAUGCAAUCCAUAACAUCAAAACAUCAACUCCAUAAUAAAAUAGUAAUAGAAAGAGAUAGAGUUGAAAAUUUAGACCUCAAAUUUGACGUUUUAUUUCAAUGGAAUUGCUCGACGAAGCGGCACUGGAAUACCUCGAUUUGAACCUCAAAUAUAAACCCCAACUCGAAAUAGAUUUCAACGAGCUUGGAUGGAAUCGAAAGUAAAAUCGGGGUUUGCUUAACUGCUCUCUAUAGUUGUAGCUCCGGCGAGCUUCGAUUACUGAAAACGAAGAAGGAAUACGGCUGUGACGUGUUUUCUGGUGAAUCCGUCGCUGGGACAGUAACCAAACCAUGAAAAAUUAUGUUCCCUUAGCUCCGUGUUACUCUCUUCUCUCUCGAUCUCAACUCUCUUUUCUCGAUCUCCCUGUUUUGGUCCCAAAUUUUCCUUCUAUCAGUCCUUAAUUCUCUAUUUUUUUAUGAACCUUUCGAUCUCUCCGGCCAACCAACUUGAUCUCUCCUCUCACGUCAUCCUCCUGUCAGCUCUCUCUCUCUAUUUGUGUAUUGUGCGAGUAUGGUUGAGUGAUGAUGAAAAAUGGAGGAGGGUGCAUGUAUGACUGUUGCGUGAGAAUGAGUAUCAAUUGUUCUCUGUUUUGUGGUGUAUAUAUUUCUGUGUGUGUUGAGUGAUCUUGAAGAAGACAAAGGGAAAGCAAUGGCGUGUGUUUAUUCUAUUUUUGGUGAGGAUCUAUGGAAUUGUGAGUAUGUGUGUGAAUCGUGAGUGAAGGUCCCCCUUUUUUUUGUCUAGUGAUGGUGUAUAUGUGAAUGAUGUUUUAUUUUUUUUUUGGAGAGCAAAAGCAUUUUCCAGUGGGUUCUCUUUUUUCUUUUGUGUCCAGGUGUCUUUUUUUUGGUUUGGAAAUUAUCCAUGUAUCUAUAUUGUAUUCCCUGUGCGCCGCCAUUUUGUUAUGGAAAAGGAAUAAAAUGUGGGGGGUGGAAUAGGUUG
rnacentral:lncRNA from 1 species